rnacentral:rRNA from 1 species
UAGUGGCGAACGGGUGAGUAACGCGUAAGUAACCUGCCCCCAAGUAGGGAAUAACUUUGAGAAAUUGGAGCUAAUACCGUAUGUGGUGAUGAAGGUAAUGCUGCAUCACUAAAGCCUUAGGGCGCUUGGGGAGGGGCUUGCGUCCGAUUAGCUAGUUGGUAGGGUAACGGCUUACCAAGGCGAUGAUCGGUAGCUGGUUUGAGAGGACGGCCAGCCACAUUGGGACUGAGAUACGGCCCAGACUCCUAUGGGAGGCAGCAGCAAGGAAUAUUGUGCAAUGGGCGAAAGCCUGACACAGCGACACCGCGUGGGGGAUGAAGGCCUUUGGGUUGUAAACCCCUUUUCUCAGGGAAGAAUAAUGACGGUACCUGAGGAAUAAGUCUCGGCUAACUACGUGCCAGCAGCCGCGGUAAUACGUAGGAGGCGAGCGUUAUCCGGAUUUACUGGGCGUAAAGAGGGCGUAGGCGGCUUUUCAAGUCGGAUAUAAAAUCUCCUGGCUUAACUGGGAGGGGCUAUUCGAUACUGUUAGGCUAGAGGGCAGCAGGGGGAGGUGGAAUUCCCGGUGUAGUGGUGAAAUGCGUAGAUAUCGGGAGGAACACCAGUGGCGAAGGCGGCCUCCUAGGCUGUUUCUGACGCUGAGGCCCGAAAGCGUGGGGAGCGAACAGGAUUAGAUACUCUGGUAGUCCACGCUGUAAACGAUGGACACUAGGUAUGGGGGGUAUCGACCCUCUCCGUGCCGAAGCUAACGCG